AUUGAACGCUGGCGGCAGGCCUAACACAUGCAAGUCGAGCGGAGCUGCGGACGGGCGAGUGAUGCCUAGGAAUAUGCCUUGUAGUGGGGGAUAACGUCCCGAAGCGGGCCCUAAUACCGCACCCUAUCAGAUGAGCCUAGGUCGGAUUAGCUAGUUGGUGGGGUAAAGGCCUACCAAGGCGACGAUCCGUAACUGGUCUGAGAGGCUGAUCAGUCACACUGGAACUGAGACACGGUCCAGACUCCUACGGGAGGCAGCAGUGGGGAAUAUUGGACAAUGGGCGAAAGCCUGAUCCAGCCAUGCCGCGUGUGUGAAGAAGGUCUUCGGAUUGUAAAGCACUGUAAGUUGGGAGGCGUUACCAACAGAAUAAGCACCGGCUAACUUCGUGCCAGCAGCCGCGGUAAUAC
rnacentral:rRNA from 1 species